ensembl:lncRNA
UUUCCACAAAAUAUUACCUUUUUUGGAACAAAAAGGAAGAAAUGGUAUUCUGUAUAAGGCAUCAGCAACAUCAGUUUAAUCUUUGUUUUUUUGUACUGUCUAGACCUGUCUAAAGCUCUCAGAGAAGAACAAUCUUCAGAGGAAGACACUGCCUCCUGCUCAUCAUUGUCGUCAAUGAGCCGGUCCUCCUCCUGUUCUUCCUCCUCCUCCUCAGAUGAGAAGAUGAAACGAAAGGGCAAGGGAAAACUCAGACUUUCAAAGACAAAGAACAAAAUAAAGAAGGCCAGGAAGCACCACAAAGUGACUGAUGUCCGCAAAAGAGCCUGUGGCCCUUUUGAAGUGAUAAGAAGAUACAAGAAGGUCCUGAAAGCAUACAAUCAGGGCUUGAAAUUGUCGGCUUCCUGUGCAUACGCAGGGGUGAACGAACUCACAGUCAGGUCCACGGCAAGCAUUGCAGAGUUGACAACAGCGUCACCUGCCAAGUUCACAAAGCUCCUCGAUAAAACAAAACAGGCAAAGCUGAAAGAUGUAGCAAAUUUAUGCGAAAACUACAUUAAAGGUGAUGCUCAGGUUCAGACAAAAAUAGAUGACUUAAAAAGUCAAUGCAAAUUAAUCCCGUAUGCAAAGAGAGCAUAAUUAUAAUUUUUUUACCCGUUCGUGUUGUUUUUUUUCAAGAGUGGUUAAGAAAUAUUGCCUGUCUCUCACUCUGUCUUUCCCUCACUUUAUUGUGCUCUGUCUCACUGUCUUUCUCUCUUUUCCUCACGCUCUGGUUGAAACCCUCUCUCUUUCUCUGUUUAUUUGAUAUACCAUUUUAUACAUUCUGUUGGCAUUCUAGUUUGAUCCUCUUUUUUGAUCAGUUUAAUGAUCAGUGUUCCAGUAGACCAUCUGGUUAACCAUCAGUGGUCAGUGUUCCAGUAGACCAUCAGGUUAACCAUCAGUGGUCAGUGUUCCAGUAGACCAUCAGGUUAACCAUCAGUGGUCAGUGUUCCAGUAGAAAACAAAAAGCUA